rnacentral:misc_RNA from 1 species
AGGAAACCAUGACAUGCUGGCUGGCAGCUUUAUAUUAACGCAAAUAGUUUUGACAAAUGAGUUGUCGUUUAAAAAAGCGACAUGGAAUUUUUUCUUAUAAAAUGCCAGAGAUGAACUCUUGACCGUCCAUCUUAGGGAUUCAUCCACAACCGUCAGAUUGGAAUAUAAAAAAUGUAUCAUUCGGCAAGCUUGGCCUUUUACCACAGGCCAUUUUAGGAGAAACUCUGUGGUCAACUCGUUUUUCCACCGUCCGUCCCAUCGUUGGUGACGUCACCCGUCCUCUCCGAACUACGAUACAAUCACUGCACGCCGCCUUGCAAACUCCACAGAACCACAACAAUCUAGCUUGGCUUCACCUGAAAUUUCUUCGAAAAUUUAGAUCGAAAAACCCAAAACCACAACUUUCUCUCCCCACUCCGUCAAUUUGGCGAAGUGCCCAGGCACCUGAGCGCCGCCGAACGCUUCCCGAACAUCUGGUAGCUUUCCUUCACUUUCCGGCGAGGCUUCGGUGACGAACUUGAAGGUACAGCAGAUUUAAACCAUAUUUUCUUCUCUUUCCGGGGGAAUUGCUGAGAAAUUACUUCUGAGCUGAUUUACGAGGACACUGUCUUUGCUCCGUGAGAAAGGAUCGCUGAAAGAAAAGAAUCUAACAGAAAACAGAUAUUGUUUGGACUGACCAAGGAUUUCUGCUUCCAAUCAUCUUUCCCUCUGCUCCUCCUCAGUUGUGUUCUGUAUAGAAGAUUUAAUGGCCAACAAGUCAAGACCAAAACCUAGCAAAUUAGCUGUCUACCUUUACAUACCCAAUAUUGUUGGUUGGUUUUCUUGUGUUCUACUUUUAUCCCUUUUUUGUUGUAUCAAGUUUGGAAUGUUCACCUCUGUUCUUUUGUAUGCUAAGAAGAGUGGUUUGCAUUUUAUAGGAAUAUUUAAUGUGUGUGCAUGUAUACGUGUGAUAUCUUGCUGCAUGAGUUAAUGUUUACACUUUUUAAUUAUCUAUGGGUGCUAUGCGAAUGCAGGGUACACAAGGGUUCUCAUGAAUUGUUUUGCUUUUGCUAUAUGCUUUUCCAACAAAAGGCUUUUCUGCCUUCUCUAUUUUAUUAGUUUUGUAUGUGAUGGCAUUGAUGGUUGGUGUGCCCGUAAAUUCAAUCAAGUAUCAACUUUUGGAGCUGUUUUGGAUAUGGUAACAGAUAGGAUCAGCACUGCUUGUCUACUAGUAAUGCUUUCCCAAGUAUACAGACCUGGCUUGGUUUUUGUGUCAUUGCUUGCCCUAGAUAUUGCAAGCGAUUGGCUGCAGAUGUACAGGCAAAUCCAGUCACAAAGAUGUGGAAGGCAGCUCUAAUUAGCUUUUCAUGGCUUAUUAUGGAAACCGGAUGUUCAUGGCUUACUGCUGUGCAGCAUGUGAGGUUCUCUAUAUAAUCUUGUUUCUCAUUGCUGAAAAAGAGAUUGAAAAUUUGAUGGAUGUUUUCAUAAAAUCUAUGAAAGAGUGCUCACUUAUCUCUUUCCUACUUGGCUUAAGUUUGUUUGGAUGGGCAAUCAAGCAAAUUGUAAAUAUCAUUCAGAUGAAGACAGCAGCAGAUAUUUGUGUUCUGUAUGACAUUGACGAGAAGGAGAAGGCUUAAUGUGUUCCUCAGUUUUCAAAUUUGUAGGUUUUUUAAAGUAUGUCAAUAGGUUCAAAUACUAAUGAUAUGGAACUUAUUUCAACUUGAGAAACGAUAUUACCUUAAGUAUUUUAUAUCAAUGAUAGAGCGAGAAUGCCUCUUCUGGUCAUUUGGAGCCGAUUAUUAUGUUCAUCUGUGGCGACUCGUUAGAAGCCGUUUCCAGCGAUGUGGCUAGGAUGGUAGGUCGAUCAGCGGAAGGCUCUCCUAGUGUUGUGUAGAGAGUUGACCCCCAGACACCUAUGGAUUAGAAGUGGCAGUACCUCUUCUCAUCGAGAACAAAUGGC